rnacentral:rRNA from 1 species
CAGCCGCCGCGGUAAUACGUAGGGUGCGAGCGUUAAUCGGAAUUACUGGGCGUAAAGAGUGCGUAGGCGGCGCGGAAAGUCAGAUGUGAAAUCCCCGGGCUCAACCCUCGGAGACGCAUCCGACACUCCCGCGCUAGAGACUGGAGAGGGAGUCUGGAAUUCCACGUGUAGCAGUGAAAUGCGUAGAUAUCGUGAGGAACACUAGUGGCGAAGGCGAGACUCUGGACAGUUCCUGACGCUGAGGCACGAAGGCCAGGGGAGCGAAGGGGAUUAGAUACCCCCGUAGUCCUGGCAGUAAACGGUGCUCGCUUGGUAUGCGCGGUUUCGACCCCGUGCGUGCCGGAGCUAACGCGUUAAGCGAGCCGCCUGGGAAGUACGGUCGCAAGAUUAAAACUCAAAGGAAUUGACGG